rnacentral:lncRNA from 1 species
AAAAACAUUUUUUGGAGGUGGGGGAAAGACAAAAAGGAAAAAAAAAGAUUGCAGUGCAAAGAGAUAGCUUCCAUUAGAGCUCCUGCCCGGGCGAUGGGAGUGUUUAAUGAAUGCAUCAAGUCUUUUGAUCACCCUCGCUCGGCUGGGUUCAGGAGUGCCGGAAGAUUCUCCACCCAGGGGCCAUGGCUUCUUUGGUUGCAGUCCUGUGAAGUCCCUCCUUGGAUUGGGAAAGCUGUAUGAUUUUCCAAGACUGGAUUGUAAAAGUCUUGCUGCUUCUACCUGGAUUCUUGAAUGCUGUCUUUUGUGACACUCUCUCAGGACCCAGCUGUAAUCUUCAAGAAUGGGGACUGGUGUGCAGGUAAGAUCACACACAGGUAGAUAGGCUG